rnacentral:rRNA from 1 species
GCGCAGCAGGCGAGAAACUCCGCAAUGCUCGAAAGAGUGACGGGGAUUCCAAGUGCCUACGCUUAGCGUAGGCUGUUCAGAUGCCUAAAAGCAUCUGGAGUAAGGGCUGGGUAAGACGGGUGCCAUCUGCAGUGGUAAUGAAAAACUUGCUACUGCAAGGCAUAAGCCGCCGCGGUAAUACCCGCAGCCCGAGCGGUAGUCGCUUUUAUUGGGCCUAAAGCGUCCGUAGCCGGUCUGGUAAAUGCCUGGGGUAAAUCGUGGGGCCUAACCUCACGAACUCCGGGUAGACUGCCAGACUUGGGACCGGUUGAGGGAGAGGGUACUCCAGGGGUAGGGGUGAAAUCCUGUAAUCCUUGGAGGACCACCGGUGGCGAAAGCGCUCUCCUAGGACGGUCGACGGUGAGGGACGAAAGCCAGGGGAGCAAACCGGAUUAGAUACCCCCGUAGUU